GACGAACGCUGGCGGCGUGCUUAACACAUGCAAGUGGAGCGACGAACCAGGCUUCGGCCUGGGGCAGAGCCGCGAACGGGUGAGUAACACGUGGGUAACGUGCCCCAAUGAUCGGGACAACCCGGGGAAACCCGGGCUAAUACCGAAUGUGCUCCCCUCACACCCGUGAGGGGUGGAAAGGAAGCUUCGGCCUCCGCAUUUGGAUCGGCCCGCGGCCCAUUAGCUUGUUGGUGAGGUAACGGCUCACCAAGGCUGCGAUGGGUAGCUGGUCUGAGAGGACGAUCAGCCACACUGGGACUGAGACACGGCCCAGACUCCUACGGGAGGCAGCAGUGGGGAAUCUUGCGCAAUGCGCGAAAGCGUGACGCAGCAACGCCGCGUGGGGGAAGAAGGCCUUCGGGUUGUAAACCCCUUUCAGGAGGGACGAAGCCCGGGCGGUUAAUAGCCGACCCGGGUGACGGUACCUCCAGAAGAAGCCCCGGCUAACUACGUGCCAGCCGCCGCAGUAACAC
rnacentral:rRNA from 1 species